AAAGUCUGACCUGCCCUAUGAAUUGAUUUUUAAAUGGCUGCGGUAUCAUGACCGUGCAAAGGUAGCAUAAUAAUUAGUUUUUUAAUUGGGAACUGGUAUGAAUGGUUGGACGAGAAAAAAACUGUCUCAAUUUAAUUUAAAUUAGAAUUUUAUUUUUAAGUUAAAAAGCUUAAAUACAUUUAAAAGACGAGAAGACCCUAUAGAGUUUUAUAUUUAUUUUUAUUUUAUUUUUUUAGGAUUUUUAUACUUGAAAUAAAGGUAAGUAUUUAGUUGGGGAGAUUAAAAAAUUAAAUUAACUUUUUUAUAAUUAUAACAUUGAUAUAUGAAUAGUUGAUCCA
rnacentral:rRNA from 1 species